rnacentral:rRNA from 1 species
GRUAGGACUACMCGCCUGAACUUUAAGCAUAUCAAUAAGGCGGAGGAAAAGAAAACUAACCAGGAUUCCCCCUAGUAACGGCGAGUGAAGCGGGAAGAGCUCAAAUUUGUAAUCUGGCGGUCUCAGGCCGUCCGAGUUGUAGUCUAGAGAAGCGUCUUCCGUGCCGGCCCGUGUACAAGUCCCUUUGGAACAGGGCGUCAUAGAGGGUGAGAAUCCCGUCUUUGACMCGGACUGCCGGUGCUCUGUUGAUGCGCUCUCGAAGAGUCGAGUUGUUUGGGAAUGCAGCUCAAAACGGGUGGUAAAUUCCAUCUAAAGCUAAAUAUUGGCGAAAGACCGAUAGCGAACAAGUACCGUGAGGGAAAGAUGAAAAGCACUUUGGAAAGAGAGUUAAACAGUACGUGAAAUUGUUGAAAGGGAAACGCUUGAAGUCAGUCGCGUCUUCCGGGACUCAGCUGGACACUCGUGUCCGGUGUACUUCCCGGUCUGACGGGCCAGCAUCGAUUUCGAUCGUCGGAGAAAGGCUCAGGGAACGUGGCACCUCCGGGUGUGUUAUAGCCCUGGGUCGUAUGCGACGGUGGGGAUCGAGGAUCGCAGCACGCCUUCAUUGGCCGGGGUUCGCCCACGCAACGUGCUUAGGAUGCUGGCGUAAUGGCUUUAAGCGACCCGUCUUGAAACACGGACCAAGGAGUCUAACAUGCCUGCGAGUGUUUGGGUGGAAAACCCGGACGCGGAAUGAAAGUGAAAAGUUGGGACCUCUGUCGUGGAGGGCACCGACUCCCGGACCAGACCUUCUGUGACGGUUCCGAGGUAGAGCAUGUAUGUUGGGACCCGAAAGAUGGUGAACUAUGCCUGAGUAGGGUGAAGCCAGAGGAAACUCUGGUGGAGGCUCGUAGCGAUUCUGACGUGCAAAUCGAUCGUCGAACUUGGGUAUAGGGGCGAAAGACUAAUCGAACCAUCAGGUGCUUA